GAUGAACGCUGACAGAAUGCUUAACACAUGCAAGUCUUUGGCGAAGCUGUGCUCGCACAGCCUAGCCAAGGCGGACGGGUGAGUAACGCGUAAGGAACUUGCCCUGCAGUCAGGGAUAACAGACGGAAACGACUGAUAAGACCUGGUAAAGUCAGGCGGACUCAUGUCCAGCCUGAUGAAAAGAGAUGCUGCAGGAGAGCCUUGCGUCCUAUUAGCUUGUUGGUGGGGUAACGGCCCACCAAGGCGAUGAUAGGUAGCCGGCCUGAGAGGGUGGACGGCCACAAGGGGACUGAGAUACGGCCCUUACUCCUACGGGAGGCAGCAGUGGGGAAUAUUGGACAAGGGGGGCAACCCUGAUCCAGCAAUUCUGUGUGCACGAUGAAGGUUUUCGGAUUGUAAAGUGCUUUCAGCAGGGAAGAAAAAAAUGACGGUACCUGCAGAAGAAGCGACGGCUAAAUACGUG
rnacentral:rRNA from 1 species